rnacentral:rRNA from 1 species
AACGAACGCUGGCGGCAUGCCUAACACAUGCAAGUCGAACGAAGCCUUCGGGCUUAGUGGCGCACGGGUGCGUAACGCGUGGGAAUCUGCCCCUUGCUUCGGAAUAACAGUUAGAAAUGACUGCUAAUACCGGAUGAUGUCUUCGGACCAAAGAUUUAUCGGCAAGGGAUGAGCCCGCGUAGGAUUAGGUAGUUGGUGGGGUAAAGGCCUACCAAGCCGACGAUCCUUAGCUGGUCUGAGAGGAUGAUCAGCCACACUGGGACUGAGACACGGCCCAGACUCCUACGGGAGGCAGCAGUGGGGAAUAUUGGACAAUGGGGGAAACCCUGAUCCAGCAAUGCCGCGUGAGUGAUGAAGGCCUUAGGGUUGUAAGGCUCUUUUACCAGGGAUGAUAAUGACAGUACCUGGAGAAUAAGUUCCGGCUAACUCCGUGCCAGCCGCCGCAGUAAGAC